GGACCCAUAGCCUAGUCUGGCAGCCAUGAGCUCUUCUUAGGAAGCGCAUUGCUGGGCAAAUAAGGCAUCAGCCUUCUAAGCUGAGGAUCGAGGGUUCGAAUAUCCUUAUGAUCAUCAGGGUCAUAAAAGGUUCGGAAGUCCCUCUGGGUCCG
rnacentral:tRNA from 1 species